GUUAAUCUUUUAAGAAACGAAAAAACUUUUCUUUUUCCCAACUCACCCUCUCGCGACUCACCCUCUCGCUUUCGCUCUCGCUCUCGUGUUCCCCCUUCUCUCUCGCACCUUCAGAUCUCGUUCAUGGAGGUUCCUUCUCUGUCGCUCAUGGAGUUCCUAUCUUAGGCCUUAGCCAUAGGAUAUAGAACUUUUCAUGCAGGUUAUUGGGAUAUUAUCUAGAGGCAUGGACAAUUGGGGACAUGUAAUGCUGGUAGCGUAAAUUAUGAUGUCUCUUGCCUCUGUUCAUAUGGCUUUUGUUGGAAUUGCACCGAGGAGGCGCAUCGUCCAGUGGACUGUGGCACCGUAGCAAAGUGGAUUUUGAAAAACAGUGCAGAGUCUGAAAACAUGAACUGAUAUGUGCUGAAGAAGAUUUGCCUUACCCACCAAACUGAGUGCUCUAGAAGUGCUCCAUAGGAUGAGCUUCAGCUCUUAGCUAGGCAGCAUAUGGACAUCCUUGAGACACUGCCGGAAUGAAGGUAUCAUGAUCCUUGCUCUAUUGCAGGUUACUACUGAUGUGUGUGAUAUCUGUUGCAGCUUUUCAUUAGCAAGUUCUUAGAGCGCAGAAGAUAUGAAAAUGGUGAUGCAAGAGAUGCCUCAUGUCAAAAAAAGAAGUAGAAAGUCCUUAAGAUGUUCUUGUUUCCUGUAUAUAUAUAUUUUCUAGAAUUGCUUGGAGCGAACCUGGAUUGAACUACUUAUGCUUCAAGUUAUUUUGAAUUAUUUGGUUAUUAACUACUAAAAGCAUUCAUAAUGA